CGAGACCGAUAGCGAACAAGUACCGUGAGGGAAAGAUGAAAAGAACUUUGAAAAGAGAGUUAAAGAGUACCUGAAACUGCUAAAAGGGAAUCGAAUCGUUUCCAGUGUCUAUAAUCUGUGGCAUAUUUCAUUGGCGAGUGUGUGCGUGCAUUGUUUUGGAAGCAGUUUUCUGUUCCUGGCUGUGUUGUGCAUUUGCUUGCUGGUGCCCUGUGUCGCGGUGGGACGUCAGAGUCAAUUCGUAAGUUGCGGGAAAUGGCUAUUGGGGAGGUAGGUCACUUCGGUGGCUGUUAUAUCCUGAUAGCUAGUAGUCGUGGUUGAGACUGAGGUGCC
rnacentral:rRNA from 2 species